rnacentral:rRNA from 1 species
UACAGAGGUCUCAAGCGUUGUUCGGAUUCAUUGGGCGUAAAGGGUGCGUAGGCGGGUAUUUAAGUCAGGGGUGAAAUCCUGGAGCUCAACUCCAGAACUGCCUUUGAUACUGAGUAUCUUGAGUACGGGAGAGGUGAGUGGAACUGCGAGUGUAGAGGUGAAAUUCGUAGAUAUUUGCAAGAACACCAGUGGCGAAGGCGGCUCACUGGCCCGUUACUGACGCUGAGGCACGAAAGCGUGGGGAGCAAACAGG